UACGUAGGGGGCAAGCGUUGUCCGGAAUCAUUGGGCGUAAAGAGCGUGUAGGCGGUUCGGUAAGUCGGCUGUGAAAGUCCAGGGCUCAACCCUGGGAUGCCGGUCGAUACUGCCGGACUAGAGUUCGGAAGAGGCGAGUGGAAUUCCCGGUGUAGCGGUGAAAUGCGCAGAUAUCGGGAGGAACACCUAUGGCGAAGGCAGCUCGCUGGGACGUUACUGACGCUAAGGCGCGAAAGCGUGGGGAGCGAACAGG
rnacentral:rRNA from 1 species